GACGAACGCUGGCGGCGUGCCUAAUACAUGCAAGUAGAACGCUGAAGCUUGGUGCUUGCACCGAGCGGAUGAGUUGCGAACGGGUGAGUAACGCGUAGGUAACCUGCCUGGUAGCGGGGGAUAACUAUUGGAAACGAUAGCUAAUACCGCAUAAGAGUAGAUGUUGCAUGACAUUUGCUUAAAAGGUGCAAUUGCAUCACUACCAGAUGGACCUGCGUUGUAUUAGCUAGUUGGUGAGGUAACGGCUCACCAAGGCAACGAUACAUAGCCGACCUGAGAGGGUGAUCGGCCACACUGGGACUGAGACACGGCCCAGACUCCUACGGGAGGCAGCAGUAGGGAAUCUUCGGCAAUGGACGGAAGUCUGACCGAGCAACGCCGCGUGAGUGAAGAAGGUUUUCGGAUCGUAAAGCUCUGUUGUAAGAGAAGAAGGAGUGUGAGAGUGGAAAGUUCACACUGUGACGGUAUCUUACCAGAAAGGGACGGCUAACUACGUG
rnacentral:rRNA from 1 species